CCUACGGGAGGCAGCAGUGGGGGAUAUUGGACAAUGGGGGGAACCCUGAUCCAGCGACGCCGCGUGAGUGAAGAAGUAUUUCGGUAUGUAAAGCUCUAUCAGCAGGGAAGAAAAUGUCGGUACCUGACUAAGAAGCCCCGGCUAACUACGUGCCAGCAGCCGCGGUAAUACGUAGGGGGCAAGCGUUAUCCGGAUUUACUGGGUGUAAAGGGAGCGUAGACGGUGCAGCAAGUCUGAUGUGAAAGGCCGGGGCCCAACCCCGGGACUGCAUUGGAAACUGUUGAACUGGAGUACAGGAGGGGUAAGCGGAAUUCCGAGUGUAGCGGUGAAAUGCGUAGAUAUUAGGAGGAACACCAGUGGCGAAGGCGGCUUACUGGACUGUAACUGACGUUGAGGCUCGAAGGCGUGGGGAGCAAACAGGAUUAGAUACCCGAGUAGUC
rnacentral:rRNA from 1 species